UACGUAGGGUGCGAGCGUUGUCCGGAAUUAUUGGGCGUAAAGAGCUUGUAGGCGGUUUGUCGCGUCUGCCGUGAAAUUUCGAGGCUCAACCUCGAACUUGCGGUGGGUACGGGCAGACUAGAGUGUGGUAGGGGAGACUGGAAUUCCUGGUGUAGCGGUGAAAAUGCGCAGAUAUCAGGAGGAACACCGGUGGCGAAGGCGGGUCUCUGGGCAGUAACUGACGCUGAGGAGCGAAAGCGUGGGGAGCGAACAGG
rnacentral:rRNA from 1 species